AAAUUAGAACACAAAGAGUAGAAAAAAAAAGACACAGCACUGCUGAGAAACAGUGCUUCAUUACACAUGGUGUCUGAUACAUGGUCGGGCAUAAUAAAUUGUAACUAUUAGUAGUAAAAAUAGUAGUAGUUGUUACUAGUAGUGAUUGUUUAUUUUUUAUUUUGUGGCUCUCUUGUCUGUAUCACAGAAUUAUUUGGGAGCUAAUUUUAAUAAAGUGAACCUAUUCAAUUCCUCCUUUAUUUGACCAAAUUAAGAUCUUAAAACUCCAGUUAUGAGAGAGUUAAUUACUGUUGUCUCAAGAAUUGUCUCGAUUUUACUUAGAAAGAAGAGUUUUUUGUUGUUAGAAUCUAACUGAUUCUAUUUAGCAAAAAGUUAUCUUUGAUUCCAGUAUGGUUUCAGCCAGAUUACCCUCAUAAGCUGAACACAGAAUUUUGGCUUCUAAUUUCAAGGAGAGAAAUGUAACUGCAAAGCAAAGAUAUAUGCAAAGCCUGAUACUUAAUUUAUCUUGUUCAAGCCAAACAAGGCUAAGAGUAUCAUGUACAGAACCUUAAGAAAUAAUCUUUGCAUUCAGUUAAUCUAUAUUAGUUUUCACUUCAUUGUCAUUUGCUCUUUUAACUUUCUUCACUGGCUUAUCAAACAGAAAUUGGCAGUGAUAACAUGUUCUAUUGCUUUGAUUUUCAAAAUGUAUCUUUAAAAACAUGUGGAUUGGCUAAUAGAGCAAAAGGGAUGGAGUUGAUCAGAAUUCUUUUUCAAGACAGCUCUUCAUACCAACAAUUGGCCAGAAGACACCCCAGUGCCUCUUGUAAGAUGGGAAGAUGGGUUCUUUCUCUUCCAGGAAAAAAAGUAGGAUUAUUAAAGUCCUAUUAAAGUAGUAAUGACCCCUGGAAAUAUUACCUUUUAGUACUACUUCAAAGAUCAUCUCCAACAAAAUAACUUAUCUUGAAACUGCCGGAAAUAUCACCUAACUUCUGCAUGUGGGGGGCACCUAUUAGAAUUAAGAGGGCACAAUAUAUAGAUAUAGUGAUGACUGUAAGAGUGUUGGGAUGAGAUCCUGCUUUUUCCAGCUGUUUGCCUAUUCCUCUUUGCUUCCAAAGAUGGAAAGAGGGGGCUAGAGGCCCCAAAGAGAAGGCUCUGUUCUCACUAGUAGAAUUGGUUUAUCAAGCAGAAUUCCCUAAAAUUUUCCCAAGACAUCUGGCCUGAAGGCCCGCAGUCAGAUAAAGAAAACCUAUAUUGAUUCCCAGCUGAGCACAGAUUAUAGGAGGCUCCUCUGUUUGCAAAACUAUUUCUAAACGUCCAAACAAAUGGACAAGUCUCUGAAAAAUGGGGCAGUAAUCAAUGUCUCAAUAAUGGCAGAUCUAGUAGUCCCAAGCAUGGCUUAUGUGUAUUAUUCAGCAUUUUUGUUAUGAAUGGCCAGACCCUAAAAGCCCCUGAUGGAAAACAAAAUGAAGUUAAAUAGUAUUGGAACUGGACUGGCUCUCAGCGUUAAAUAUCUCAUUUUUCAGAAGAAACAAUUAUACAGAGAAGUAGUGACCUGGCACAGCACUGAACCUUGGCAAAGGCCAUGAUUACAAAGAAUUAGAGAGAGUAUGUUGUGGUGGGAAGAUCACGGGUUAUGUGAACAGGAAAUCCCUGACUUCACUUCCAGCCUGCCACAUCCUAGUUUAUGUUGGAGAAGUCUCUUAGCAUAACUAAGCCCCUGUUGCCAUUUUCACAUUUUUCAGAGUGAAGUAUUAUGCCUGUUUAUGGACUAAAUAAAAUAGUGUAUAAAGUUCCAAGCACAUAGCAGAUGUAUUGUGAAUAUAGAUUAACUUUUCUUUCCUCAUUCAAGAAGUCUCUGAACUACAUACACUUAUAUAAAAUCCCACCGAGGGGACUGAAUUAAGGAGAAUGUUAAAAAAAAAUCUCUGACCUAGAAAGUCCUUAGUUUCAAAGCAAUAGGCAGCAGUGACUCAUUACUACGGUCUUCAAAAAGCUGAGGAAGGAUGGGGAUGAGGGGUUCCUAUCAAAGCAAAACAUAGAACACAGAUGAAUAAAAAUACACACAUACAUGUUUUACACACACAUAUUAAGGUAUCUGCGAAUAUGUGUAACUACAUAAGAGUUCAGUCAUCACGGAUCCAACUCUCUUCUGACUCAUAAGCAACAUUAAGUAGCUUCCUGUGCUCUCCUGAAAUGAGUUCUCUCUCUGCUAACCCCAGCACCCUGCAGCCUGAGAACCUGGCUCUACUUCAGAAGUUGAGUCAUUGUUACCUUUAUUUUAAAGGCUGUUUCUGCCAACAGAUCUCUCCAUCCAAUUUCAGACGAGAAAGAUUCACAAACUCAGAGCGCCCCAUUGAAGAAGCAGGACCUUGUUUUCCCUGGUGCAGUUUCCACAGUCAACAAAUCAGAAUCCGCUUCAGCUGGCUGUUUCCAGCUCAGGAUCUCUCAUGAGGAUUUAGUUCAAAUGUCAGCCAGGGCCGUAUCCAUCAGAAGGCUCGACUGGGGCUGGAGGAUCCACCUCUGAACUUACUCACGUGGUUGUGAGCAGGAGUUUUUCCCAGUGUGGACUGCGGCUCACCUUAUGGCAGCUGGCUUUCCCCAGAGCGAGUGAUCCAAGAGAGAGGACAAGGGAGAGUGCAAGCAGGAAGCUACAGUGUGUUUUAUCACUUAGCUUUAGAAGGGACCUAUCAUCACGUCUGCUGUACGCUGUCAGCGACAUAGAUCAACUCUGGUGCAAUAUGGGAGGAGACUCCACAGGAGUGUGAAUACCAAGGGGUGGGGAACAUUGGGCGGUCUUGGGAGUUGGCUACCAUACUUCCUCUACCACUCAUUCAUGAUCCUGGAGUCACUUCCAAUAAACUACUUGUACAAAAA